AACCAGUGAUGUGAUGAUUCUGC
rnacentral:piRNA from 2 species